GAGUCGAGUAGCUGUCACUCCCCUGUGUUUAUAAGGUGUGGUUUUUACUCACCAAUGGCAGCGCAUACACCAUAGCAGGUCCACUACCCGCUACUCCAUCAUGCAAAGAAACGGAAAAGUCCGUUCCUUCUGGACGCAGGGGUUUCUUUUUCCAUCUAAACUGGAACUUAGCUCAGCUAGCCUGUUGCUAACAGUCACCGUGGUACACAGCGGGCGAGCUUUAGCCCCGACAGCCGCUAAACAACAACCAGGAGGGAGGAAACUAAAUCAUAACGUCGGGCAUUAGUGGCCCCUUGGCACAGUGUUGGGCAGCGGGCGUUAGCUAACAUGGGAGUCCAUUAUCUCACCGACGCUGCUAACGUUAACUUCAGUGCUAAGUUAGCGGGUUUCCUGUCGUGACAACGGAGCUAGCGGAAGCGUCAUAAAGUUUCCCGACCGGCUGGAAUGGACGACCAUGAAGUUGACUGCGACCAUCUAGUUUGAGGAGAACUACGUGAAACCUGACACGACAACAGGAGGAUCAUGUGUGAGGAUGCCUCGACAAACAUCUACUGUACUUAUCGAUCGGAUAUGAAGAGGAUGGGGGUGGACAAAGAAACCACAGAGGGAAAGACAGCGGGGUUACCUGGCUGUUUUGGAGCCAGGCUAGGGCUGCCCCUGGUCGGAUCACUGGUACUUUGAACUCCUGCCAUUUGUUGCUCUUGGUCCUGGAUGUCUUUCUCCUCCAAAUGGUCAAGGAGCUUGUCUAACGUCGUCUCUAGUGUUUGCGUUGCUUGUGUGCGAUCAAACUCUCCUUUCAGACCCUCAGUCUCCAAUUCCUGCUGGGCCUACAAGACAGAGAAAAGCAAAGAAUUACAUUAUGUUUAAGAUCUGCUUAAUAUUGUGUCCAAAUUAAAUGUUAUAUGUGGUCAGAAACCUCAUUUAUGAUGUUGUCAAACUCCUUCUGCAUUUCCUCCUUUAUUUCUUCAAUCUUAUCGGACGGCACAGAGAGGUCAGCUAUCUUAUCCUCGAAAUCCUGCAGCAGGCGUUCGUCUUCAUCUUUCUCUUCCUGGCCGAGCUUCUCCGUCACCCUGUCUAAUGCUGGUUUUUCUCCUCGACUUCUGGCUUGGUUUUGAUCUUUCUAAAAAAGCAAAAAUCAGCAUUGAACUGCAAUAUUCCACACUGCAAAGAAAAAUAAAUGUACUCCAAGAGAUGUUAAAAAAAAAGUAACAUG